ACUACAUCUUAAAGAAACAGCCUUCAAAUGCCCCUCUACAGCUUUUCAGUAGCAUAAGAUAAAUU
rfam:Homo sapiens chromosome 6, GRCh38 reference primary assembly.